rnacentral:tRNA from 1 species
GCCUGGGUGGCGAUAUUGUUAGACGCAGCAGACCGAAAAUCUACCGUUCGCAAGAAUGUGCCGGUUCAAGUCCGGCCCCGGGCACAA